AACGAACGCUGGCGGCAUGCCUAACACAUGCAAGUCGAACGAGACCUUCGGGUCUAGUGGCGCACGGGUGCGUAACGCGUGGGAAUCUGCCCUUAGGUUCGGAAUAACAGUGGGAAACUACUGCUAAUACCGGAUAAUGACGUAAGUCCAAAGAUUUAUCGCCUAGGGAUGAGCCCCGCGUAGGAUUAGCUUGUUGGUGAGGUAAAGGCUCACCAAGGCGACGAUCCUUAGCUGGUCUGAGAGGAUGAUCAGCCACACUGGGACUGAGACACGGCCCAGACUCCUACGGGAGGCAGCAGUGGGGAAUCUUGCGCAAUGGGCGAAAGCCUGACGCAGCGACGCCGCGUGGGGGAAGAA
rnacentral:rRNA from 1 species